GUGUUGAAUUUCAUAUUUCCCAUGCUAGGUCUCAUGUUUUGCAUCUUAUAUGCACUAAAUUGAAUCCAUGGGAGAGGUUUUUGAGGUUGGAGUUGAGUUUUAUUUCAGAAAAUUCGUGCAUCAUAUGAAUAUGCAUAACUGUGUUUUGAGCAAAGUUGAAUCUGUCCUGUUUUUGACAAUUUUUUCUCAUUGACACACUAACCAUUUUAUUUUCUGAUAAUUUUACUGGAGAUGUCUCUAUGUGUUUAUCUUGUUCUGUAAAAAUUUCAGAAUUUUCUGAGAAGUGUGGAAAAAGAUAAAAAUCAUAAACUAAGCUGUGGUCGGAUUGCUGGUUUUGUGCAAACAGCUUACAGAUCUUUGUUAUGCAUCAUUUUUUUUACAGUUAAACAAUGAUCCUGGUUAUGAGUCCUUAUGAGUCUUAAAUAUUGAUAAGUUGAUGAUAUUUUGAAGUUAGAAUUACUGAAAAGUAUGAAGUAUUCGAUUUUUAAUGAAUUUUCGAACACGGACUGUUCUGCUAGAAAUUGUGCUUCACUGCACAGGAUUUCUGAGUUUGGAGGUGAUUUUGACUAGGUUCCUUUAUUGUGAAAAAUCUGGAAAAAAUAAGGGAUGAACUUUGAUGAUUGAUAAUGGUGUGUACCAAAUUUGGCGUUUAUUAGAUGCAUAUUCUAAGUUUGGCAGAUUUUACAAGUUUGUGUGUGUCUGCUGAGUUUUGUAUUUGCAGCACUGACACGUUUUGGGAAAAUGGUCAUAACUCUUAGCUCGGGUAUCGGGUUUACGCACGGGUUAUUGAUUCUGAAACUAGACUCAUAUACCUUUCGGAAUAUGUAGGAGUGGUGGCUUAGUUUGUGAUAGGUUAAAUCAGUUUUUGAAUUGAAGUUCAUGGACGUGCAAAAUCUGCAAUUUUGGGCAGUGGUGUGUGUAACUUCGGACGAGAAUAACUUUGUCGUUCGGACACCGUUUUAGGCAAAUUUUAUAUCAAAAUUCAUGUACCAAAAGUCUACUUUCUAAUGGUAGUGGUCACAUUACCUGGUUCUAAAUCAAUAAGAAGUUAUGGCCAAAAUACGACAGCUGGUCAUAAGCUUACAAACCGAUUUUAAGAGUUAAGUCGUGUUUGUACUUUGUGCUUGUCUUGGGACACUUCUAGGUCUUUAAGAUGGACAUGUUUAUAUUCGUUGGACAUUGUUUAAUUCAUUGAUGGCUUUCUAGUUGAAUGUUGAGCAUUGGUUUAUACAUAAAAGCAUUCAAUAGCUUAUAUGGUUAGCGUGUGGCUAGGUGGCAAGUCAGGCAAUUGGGAGGUGCCAAAACCGUAAGUUUGGCGUACCUCAGUCGAUAUAAGGUAGCAGGUUGCGUAGAGUGGGUCCACUACCGGUCAUCGUGUUGAGAAGUGUUUGGGCUAGCAUUGGAUGAUGUGGAUGAGCGAGUUGGUUGUAG